rnacentral:lncRNA from 1 species
GCUCGAUCCCGGCUCCAGCUCCGCCCCGCACCGGAGUCCGGGGAGCCGGUAGCCGCGUGCGAUCAGUGCUGGGUUUGUGCGCUGCCGGCGCCGUGCUCUGCAGUAAGCGGCGUCUCGGCUGGCGCCGCCGCGGGUCGAAGAAGCCUCUUCCAGGUUAAAAACCCCACUCAUUGCCUCAGGAACUGGCUCCUCCUGGUUUGUGCCUGGGGUAAGAAGCUCGGGGACCAUCCUGACAUCAGUGUGACCGUGAUUUUACCAGGCUCACACACUGCAAGGCUGUCAUCAUCUGAAGCCUCUGCUCCUGGAAACAGAAUUCUCUGUUUGAGAUGAAUAAUAGGCCGAAUAUGGUAUGUGGCGGCUCUGUAGACUCGGAAGAUACAACAUGAACAAAUACAUUGCUCUGGAAAGGUGGUGUAACAACGCUACUGAAGAUUUAGAAGCAUCUCCUCUACCAGACAGGUAGGAGCAGUACCACCA